GGGAUGGCUUAGCAGGUAAGAGCACUGACUGCUCUUCCAGAGGACCUGGGUUCAAUUCCCAGCACCCA
rnacentral:tRNA from 1 species